ACACUUAGCUAGCAGGGGAGAUGAAAUGUUCAUGAAGGUGAUUUUCCCAUAUGAGAUUCAUUUACUGCAUUGGAGGUGUGCUGACCCGUAUGAGUUCUCCAAAUGCAGGAAACUCAGUGGCAUAAUUUGUGGUAUCGGGGGACUUUGUCCACAUUCUUCCCUG
ensembl:snRNA U1 U1 spliceosomal RNA